GAAAUUGAUGUAUUAAAUAAAUGGCUCUACUAAAUAAAAAUUUUAACUCUGGCACUAAAAUAAUGUUAAAUAUAAAAUUAAUUUAAAAAAUAAUUAAUUAUGCUCAUUAUUUAUGUAUUUUGAAGGAAUUAAUUUUAUAUAAGUUAAAAAAUAUCAUAAUGUAGCAUGGUUAAACUAAAAAAAAAAUUGAGAGUAUCAGUAUUAUAAAAAUUUAUUAAAUUAUGAUAUAAAAUUAAAAAAAUUAAAAUAUUUCACAUUAUUUAUGACAUAAUACUCAACUUAAUUCAACUAAGCUUUUAUCUGAAGAAUUUAGGGUCGCCUAUAUGGAUUCUCUUUCUCCGUUCUAAAUGAUUUUAGAUUAAAUCCUUGGAAAUGUGUAAUGCUUUUAAGUCAUAUUAUACUACUCUUCUCAAAGUCAAUUUAGGUCUACUUCUUCUUUUCUUUCUAUUUUCUAAUUUAAUGUGCUCUACUUGUCUAAUUGAAACCUCCGUAUGUCUAUGCUUUACAUGACCAAACCACCUUCUCUCAAUUUAUUCUCAAUUGGCACUACUCCUACAUUUUCUCAAUAUUCUCAUUACUAAUUUUAUCUAGUCUAGUAUGACCACUUACCGACUUUAAUAUUUUCAUAUCCAUAUAUUUGUGACAUAAUAAACAAUAAAAAUUAUAUCAACGAUUAAAAUAAAAUAAUUUCUUUAAAGAAUGUACAUAUAUGCAUAAUUAAAUUUUAGGAGGGUGGGGGCCAGCCCCUUGGCCCACUAGCCCUCUUCCUUCUGUCAUGAAAACGAUAGGUUACUUGAUAAUUUUUAUGCAGGUCAAAAAGGACCUUAAUCCCAUGUUAUCUUGAGCACGCUAGAUACCUAUUGUGUUGUGUC
rnacentral:misc_RNA from 1 species